rnacentral:rRNA from 1 species
AUUGAACGCUGGCGGCAGGCCUAACACAUGCAAGUCGAACGGUAACAGGAAGCAGCUUGCUGCUUCGCUGACGAGUGGCGGACGGGUGAGUAAUGUCUGGGAAGCUGCCUGAUGGAGGGGGAUAACUACUGGAUACGGUAGCUAAUACCGCAUAAUGUCGCAAGACCAAAGAGGGGGACCUUCGGGCCUCUUGCCAUCGGAUGUGCCCAGAUGGGAUUAGCUUGUUGGUGGGGUAACGGCUCACCAAGGCGACGAUCCCUAGCUGGUCUGAGAGGAUGACCAGCCACACUGGGACUGAGACACGGUCCAGACUCCUACGGGAGGCAGCAGUGGGGAAUAUUGCACAAUGGGCGCAAGCCUGAUGCAGCCAUGCCGCGUGUAUGAAGAAGGCCUUCGGGUUGUAAAGUACUUUCAGCGGGGAGGAAGGGAGUAAAGUUAAUACCUUGGCUCAUUGACGUUACCCGCAGAAGAAGCACCGGCUAACUCCGUG